rnacentral:rRNA from 1 species
GACGAACCGUGCAAACGUUAUUCGGAAUCACUGGGCUUAAAGGGCGCGUAGGCGGGUGACCAAGUCUGUGGUGAAAGCCUCCAGCUUAACUGGAGAAGUGCCGUGGAUACUGGUCAUCUCGAGGAGGGUAGGGGCAUCUGGAACUAGCGGUGGAGCGGUGAAAUGCGUUGAUAUCGCUAGGAACUCCGGUGGCGAAGGCGAGGUGCUGGACCCUUUCUGACGCUGAGGCGCGAAAGCCAGGGGAGCGAACGGG